GCUAUAUUUGUCUUUUUAAAUCCCUAAACCGUAAACGAAUUUUUAAACCCUAAACUUUAAAACAUAUAUUUUAAACUCAGAUAUUAAGUAUAUAGUCAAAAACUAUUUAUGUUUCAUAAAUUUAAUCUCAAUCUCAAUACCUCAAACUUUUAACUCUCAAACCCUGGGCUCAAACCCUAUACUCAAACCUUUAAACCCUUAGACUAAUUUCAUUUAGUAUAAUUCUUUUAUUUAAAAUCUUUAAACUAAUUUAAGAUUACAGUUUAAAAAUUAAUCUCAAAUCUCAAUACCCCAAACUUUUGAUCCUCAAAUUCUAUUAUAUUUUAAAAUUUAAUUAUCAUGUUUAAUUCUUUAAAUUUAUGCAAUUUUUGAAGUGAAAUGAGAAGAACAAUUUUAUUUUUUUAGGACCAUUGAUUGAAUUUGAUCUAGUGGCAACAAUCAUUAUUUGACUUUUGAAUCUCUAAACCCUAAACAUUAAACACAAACUUUAAACUAUAAUACUAUAAACUUUAUAAUACAUGAAAACUUAAACUUCAGAUCUUAGAUAUAAAACUAAAAAAUUGAAUAUUUUUGAAAUUCUCAAAUCAUAUAAUUUUUUUUAUCAAAUCAGUUUUUAAUCAUAUAACCACAAAAUUCAAAUGCCAAACUUAAAUCCUCUAGUUCAUAAACUUUAAACUAUAUUUCAUAUAUCCAAAUUAUAAACCUUAAUUUUAAAUUUCAAACUUAAAUCCUCUAGUUCAUAAACUUUAAACUAUAUUUCAUAUAUCCAAAUAUAAAUCACAAAAUCAUAAACUUUAAACCUUUUCUUAAAAUAAUUUUUAUUUUCAAAAAUAUAUCAUAAAUAUUUUUAUACUAAACACACAAAAUAAAAUAGAAAACAAUGUUAUUAAGAAAAAUAGGAAUCAAAUACAAAAAUUUGAUUGGUCAACACAAACUGGCCAAUCACAUACAAGGACGGAGAUCAUGCUUUAUAUAAUCACAACCAUUGAUUAAACUUUUUGAAGGGUCCAUAUUACUCCUACUUCUUCUCCUCUCUCUCUCUCUGUCGCUUUUGUUUUCAGAUCCAAAAAUUUUGUAACUGUCUAGACUCACAAAACUCAUCUUCUUUCUCUCUGCAUCUUCAGUUUCUCUAAGUCACAGACUCAUUGUCACCAUCCUCUGUCGCUCAGUAUCCUUCUCCUUACAGAUAAUGGAGGUCGUGAGACAACAACAGAGGAGGAGCAUCCCAUCUACUCUAUUCUCUCUCUCUCUGAACCGUGAUGCCUCCUCUCUGUCCUGUGACGAAGUGACGCCUCCUCUCUGUUCUGGUUUCAGAGAAAGACUAGAGCAAUAGCGUAAGCUUGGAGAAUCAGAGCAAGGUGGGAGAAGACAGAGCAACGGCGUCGGAGAAGACCGAGCAGCGGCGUAGGGGAAGACAGAGCAGGGGCGGCGUUGGGGUAGACAGAGAUGGUCGCGAGCAGAGAUGGUGGUGCGGCGGGUGAGGACUGGAAGAUGAAGAAGGCAACAAAGUUCAUGGCUUGAUAAGACGAUGAAGAUCAUGGAAGAACACGACAACGAAGGUGGUGGUGCGACGGGUGAGGGUUGGAAGAUGAAGAAACGACGAAGGUGGUGGUGUUGGGGUGGCGCUUAGUUAGUACUAAUUAGGUUAAAGCUUGGUUUAGUUAGUAAUUAGGUUAAAGUUUUUGGUUUAUUAUUUAAUUAUAUAUUUUUUUAUAUUUUUGUAAUCCAAUUUUGUUACAGAUCAAUAUUAAUAAAGAAAUUUUAAAUAUCUGAAUUAAUUUUAAAUUUUAAUUAUGCUUUUAUUUUUAAAUUAUUAACUGAAAAAUAAUUCUAAAAUAAAUAAUUAACAAAAUAUAAUUUACAAUAUAUAGCAGAAACAAAUUGCUACAGUAGUUUUAACAAUAACAAAUCAAAAACGCUGUUAAUAAAAUAAAUAAUAGCAUUAAAGACAUGCUAUUAAAAAAAAUUUAAUUGCAUAUUGAAAAGCGCUAUUGUAGUGGAAGAAAAAAUAGCAACGCUAAAAACCGCUAUGUAAUGUCAUUUACCUAUUAUGACGGGCGAUGAUACAGCGCUUCAAAAACCGCUAUCGUAUCGUUACAUAGCGUUAUUCGUCCGCUAUAAAAACACAUUUUUCUUGUAGUGAACAUACAGUUAAUUAGUAUUUGCUAAGUAAUAAGUUAUGUGAUUUUGCUCUAUAUUUAAGGAGUGUAGGUAUUUCUUGCUACCAAAAGAGCCAGUUACAAUUGACAUAAUAAAAACUAAAAUAACAUGAUUUUAGGUAUUCUGAUUGUCAGUAUAUCCAUUGACAAAUAGGAAGAACAAAAAUAAAAAUAAAUAUCACUAUAUAUCCUCUUCACCAAGUCAAAUAAUCAUUGGUUAUGUCUAAAAUGAUAUAUAACUUUUCUUUUGAAAUUUAAACAAAAAAAGUCAUCUGCAAAUAAUCUCAUUUAAAUAACAUUAAUCAUUUUGUUUAUCCGGUGUUAAAAAAAUCAUUUUUUAUCCCAACAAUGAUCUAAAAGAUGAUGUUAUAAGAUAAGUGGGAAGAUUAAUUUCUGUGUACUAAAAAUAAAAAUUUAGAUUUGGAAAACCAUGAUAAAUAUAUAUAUUUUAUCUAAAACAAAGAAAAUCUCUCUAAAACCCGUACUAGUAUGUAUAUGUUUGGAAUCUCCAACUGAAUUCUCUGCCUCACAGCAUAUUUAUAUACAAAAUUAUAUGAAUAGAUAUGUGAAAGUUUUAUCUCUAUAAAAGAAAUUCAGUAUUUUACCUAGUUUUUGGUUUUGAUCUGUAGUUUUGAUUUCUUUACUUUGUUUGACUGGUAUUUAUAAUUUUAGAAGAAUGAAGAAGAUAUAUAUAAAGUUCAAAAAUAAUAAGAUAGAUGAGAAAUAGGAAUGAAAAAGAAGAACAAGGAAAAUAGAAAAUAAGGAUGUAAAAAUGAGAAGUCAAAGUCAAAAGAGAAGAGAUGAGAUAAUAAGGUAAAAAAUAGUGGAGGAUGGAUUUGAUAGAUAUGGGAUAUGAAGACAAAAAAAAAGAAACAUGAGAGAGAAAAAUAUUAUGAAGAUAAGAAAUAUGAGGUCAUAAAUGAGAAUGGAAGAUAUUAAAGAUAUGUAUAAGAGGUUCUACAAAAUGUGAAGGCAAAAGCAAAAGGAAUGAAAAAAAUGAGAAGAAGUUCCGUAGAAGAAUUGAAAAAAUGAGAAAUAUUAAAGAAAAAAAAUGCAAGAAAGAUGAAAGAUAUAAAGCAAAAAAAUAAUAAGGAAGAUGUAAAUAUGGUCAUAAAUAAUCUUCAAAAAAAAAUGGUCAUAAAUAAGAAUAGAGGAGAUAAACUAUAUGAAAAAGAGGUGAGAUAUGAAUGCAAUAAGAAAAAUAAAAGAGAUAAUUGAUAAGGCAUCACCAGCCGUGGACUCCAACUGAUCAAAUGCGAAGAGUAAUUGAUAAGGCUAUUAGAAACAUGAUCGUCUACGGUACAAGCCAGGUCACAAGUAUGGAGGUCUUCUCCAGCGUUGGUUUCUGAUUACCACAUAGCUUGUUUUCUCUUUCUUUUAUAUACCAUACCGUAAAGAAAUCAUAGUCUAAAGAUAGAGCUUUGUACAUAACAUUAUUUGAUUGAUCAAUAAAUUUUAAAUUUCA